UACGUAGGGGGCGAGCGUUACCCGGAUUUACUGGGCGUAAAGCGCGUGUAGGCGGCUUGGUCAAGCGUGGUGUGAAAUCUCCGGGCUCAACCCGGAAACUGCAUUGCGAACUGACCUAGCUGGAGUGCAGGAGAGGGCAGCGGAAAUUCCCGGUGUAGCGGUGAAAUGACGUAGAUAUCGGGAAGAACACCAACGGCGGAAGGCAGCUCGCUGGGACGGAACUGAACGCUAAGGCGGCGAAAGCGUGGGGAGCCGAACAGG
rnacentral:rRNA from 1 species